rnacentral:tRNA from 1 species
GCCUUGGUGGUACAGUGGUAAAGCACUCAGUUGCUAACUGAAAGGUAGGUGGUUAGAACCCACCCAGUGGCU